UGGGCAACCUACCCUUGACUCUGGGAUAACUCCGGGGAAACCGGAGCUAAUACCGGAUAUGAACACGAAGGACAUCCUUUGUGUUGGAAAGUUUUUCGGUCAGGGAUGGGCCCGCGGCCUAUCAGCUUGUUGGUGGGUAAUGGCCCACCAAGGCGACGACGGGUGGCCGGCCUGAGAGGGCGACCGGCCACACUGGGACUGAGACACGGCCCAGACUCCUACGGGAGGCA
rnacentral:rRNA from 1 species